rnacentral:rRNA from 1 species
UCGAGCUCGCAACCUCGCGGGUGCAUCUAGAUUAGCCUACUAACACGUGGAGAACGUGCCCUUAAGUGGGGGAUAAUCUCGGGAAAUUGAGGAUAAUACCCCAUAGGUCAUGGGAUCUGGAAUGACCCAUGGCUGAAAGUUCCGGCGCUUAAGGAUCGCUCUGCGGCCUAUCAGGUAGUAGUGGGUGUAACGUACCCCCUAGCCUACGACGGGUAUGGGCCUUGAGAGAGGGAGCCCAGAGUUGGAUUCUGAGACACGAAUCCAGGCCCUACGGGGCGCAGCAUUCGCGAAAACUUCACACUGGGGGGAACCCCGAUGAGGGAAUUCCUAGUGCUUGGGCAUCUGUCCAAGCUUUUCCCGAGCGUAGAUAACUCGGGGAAUAAGGGCUGGGUAAGACGGGUGCCAGCCGCCGCGGUAAUACCUGGCAGCCCCAAGUGGUGGUCGAUUUUUAUUGGAGUCCAAAAGCGUUUCGUAGCCGGUCCGUUUAAAUCCUUGGGGUAAAUCGGGGAAGCUCCAACUUUUCCAACUUCCGAGGAAAACUGGGCGGAAUUUGGGACGGGGAGAGCCAAGGUUACUUCCGGGGGGUAGGGGGUAAAAUCCUGUAAUCCUAAAAGGGACCCCCGGUGGGCGAAAGGUGUCUGGCUAAGAAGGAAUCCCAAAGGUGGGGGACACAAACCCUGGGCUGCAAAACAGGAAAUUAAAAACCCCUCGUUAUGCCCGGGGUUGUAACUCUCUGCCUCUACUUUUGUAUCUUUGGUGGGGUCUUUGUUGCGGC